UUCAAAAAAAGGGAAAAAAAUCCGAAAAAUCAACACUCUAAGCAGAGACGGUGGCGCCGGGGCCGGAGCCACCGCCGUCCUGAGGCGGCGGCAGCCACCGUCCUCAUAUGUGGCCACGUCGAGAGAGAUGGUUAACCUGUCGUUCUUGCAUCGUUUCUCCGCCCGUCGAUGGCGGAACAGAGCCAAGCGCCGGAUCGAUUUGCCCGGCAUCUUCCCGUAGCUCGGGCGAUUCUGCGCAUGUCACGCUGCUGCUCUGCCGCUUCAUCCAUGGGAAUUUCGAAUUCGCAGUGUUCCCCUUAUCGGGACUCGACAGAAUCGGCAUUCCAAAACCCAUGAUGAAGCUGCAAUGGCGUCCGCGGAAUUGCCUUGUUAUCACGUUGUCGUGCAUUAGCAGACGGCUUUUCCGGCACUUUCGAUCAAACAAAAACAAAAGUGAAGCAUGAUGGUGGAGCUUUGACAUCAGAGAGGAGAUUCUUAUGUACACUGUUGUCAUGCUUUAAACCAAGCAUCCCCCCUGUUUCCCCAUUUUGGUUUAUCAAUAAUUUACACAAGAUGAGCUCAUAUUUUCCAUUUUCUCCUUUUGGAGGAAGAUUCACACUCAGUAUCAUGAUGAUUACAAAUCAGCAUUACAAGGGAAGUUACAAAAUGAGACUAAGCUCAAAUAUAGACUUAUGGUUGAAGUUGAGAUCACGUCCAGCUAACAUGGACGGAGAUUUGAGAUCUUAGAGACAUUGAGGUACUACAAGCUAUGUAUAUCCUUUCACUUUAUUCAAAUACCAUUGCACCAGGAAGCAUUUUGACUCAGUUCUGAGAUAAUUUUUCCCCCGACAAGAAGUAUUACUGGCUUAAUAUCAAUGGCUCAGGGGUUCUUGUAGCUCUAGUUUAUUUUCAGUACAUCUAUUUUGAAGGUACUGACACAGGUGUCUUUAGCUGAACUUGCUGAAUGUGGAAAUUGAAAAGUUUACUUUGAUAUCUCUUUGUAA